UGGUCUGGUAGAUUAUAAUAAAAAAUUUUAAAAAGCUGGAUUAAUUAAAUGUCCAAUUAUACGGAUAAGUUGCAACAACUGUAUAUUUGUUAAGAGGGGGUAUAUAACAGCAAACCAAAUACUGACAACAAGGGAUGAUUGGGUUUGGAACUCUGGCUGGUAGACAGAGGGGACUUGCUAAAUAACUAUUCAAUAAAUAAGCCAAAAUGGGGUUCUUGACAAGCUAAGAAUCCAACCACAGGAGAUCAGCACAAACAACCUGAAUGUCCAACAACAGGAUUCUUCUGUUAUUUUUUUUUCCCUGACAAAAUACAUGCAGGUUCCUUAACAAAAAUCAGAAAUCUAUAAAAUAUCAAGGACAUCCAUAAUGCCAUCCAUUCAAGCACAAUGAAUUUUAAAGGAUUUCUGUUUGAGCAAGGGAAAAAAAGUUUUAAAAAAUCCUAAAGAUAAACUAAAAUUCUUAAGUAACACAAAAUACUUCAUACUGUAGCAAAUUACCAAUACUAGAGACCAGAGAAUAGUCAUAUUGACAACCUUGCUUUAAAAUAAUUUUUUUUAGGCCAAAUUCCAUUCAACCAAAUUAUCUAGAGUCUGAUAAAAGUGGCAUUUUAAAUCAGUGGAGAAGAAAUAAUUAUUCAGUUAAAGAUGCUGAACUAAUUUCAAAUCCAUGGAAAAAAUUAAUUUAGAUAGAUACUUAUACACAGAAUUAAAUUCCAAAAUUAAAUAGUUAAGUAUAAAAUGUGAAAUAUAAAACAACUAGAAUAGAAACACAAGUAAAUAUCUGACCUUGCAGUGACAAUAUUUUUAGAAAAAUAAAAAUGAUGGAGAAUAUGUGUUAAAAUACAUAAAAAUGAAAAUAGUAUAUCUGUAAAAAAAUAAACACCACAUCCAAACCAAAAAGCAACCACAAGCAGAAAAAAUGAUUUACAAGGUAUUUGAUAAAGGGUUGAUAGGCUUAAUAUGUAAACCGUUCUUGUGCAUCAAUAUACAAAGAAUACAUAAUAAAUAUGAAUAUGCUGUUGUUGUUAGGUGUCAUCAAGCUGGUUCUGACUCAUAGUGACCCUAUAGGACAUAGUAGAACUGCCCCAUCGGGUUUCCAAAGAGCACUUGGGUAGACAUGAACUGCCGACCUUUUGGUUAGCAGUCGAACGGUUAACCACUGUGCCAUGAACAUACCCAUUGUUUUUUAUGUAAAAAAUACUGUUGCAGCAGCGUGAACCCAGGAUGUCUGAUUCUGGGCCCUAAGGUCAGGCCCAGGACUAGAGUGAGGUUUACACUUAAACACUGUGCCAGUAUCUCAACUCCUAAGAGAACAAAGCAGCUCUCCAGGUUUAUCAAGUAAUAUCCACUAAAAUUGCUACUCCUGAAAUUCUAUUAUUGUGAACUGUCAAAAACAUCUUGAAAUUAUUACUACCAAGUUAUAUAACAUACUUAUUUUAAAAAGACAUUUUUUUAGGCUGAACCACAUGGAAAUCACCGAUAUUCAAAGGUUUAUGAUACAUUAAUAUCAUAAAAUCAAAAUGUAGACACAAAUUAAACAUAAAACCCAUUCUCAGCAUGAAUAAACCCAAAACUGACAAUUUUCAACAAAGUAACAUUAUCUGCCACACAAAUUAAUGUAAUUACUUGAAUUUUAUUGGUUUUAUAGUUUUGUUGGCAUUUAUAAGUGCUUUAAACUAACAUUUACUCCAAAACUGAAUAUACUUAAGUAAAAUUGUGACAAAAAUAAUUAAGUCCAACUGGAAAUGAGGAUGUUUCCCUUGAAAAGGGCCCAUACAUUUCACAAGUUUGAGAACACUGUGUAUCUCCUAAAUUACACAAGCAUCCUAGCAUAAAACUUUAGAAAAAACAAAUUGCGAUCUUCUGCUCCCCUAUUUCACAAGCUUAGCAUUGAUGGGCAGUAGCCUAGCACAACCAUCAGGAAGAGGAAGAUGGCACAAGACAGGCCAUUUUUCACAUGACUUCACAGUCAAAACAAAUCGUUUAACCUUUGUGAGCCUCAAUUUCCUCUUCAGUAAAAUAGGGAUACUGAUUUACUUUUCAGGGUUACAGAGGCACUCUAGGUAAGAUAUCUAACAUAAAAUAAUACCUAACACUGUAUAAACAUUUUAUAUUCAUCAUCUCAAAAAACCUAUUACAACAACCACACUAUAUGAGGUAGGUACAGGCAUAUCCCUGUUUUGAAGAUGAUAAAGCUGAAGUGCAGAGAGGUUCAGUAAUUUGCCCAAGGUCACGUAGCUAGUAAGAGGCAGAACCAAGACCUGACCCCAAGGUUUACUGCCAGAAGGAAGCUGGUUUUCUUCUCCAUUUUACGAAACUACCUCAAUAAAUGGGAUUAAUUAUUUUGAUACUGAAGUCCACAGUUUACCAAGGUAGGAACACAGAAACAUUUUUUCUCUGAAACCCAGCUACAGACUUUCUACUACCUCACAGCCUGUGAGGCAGCCUCUGAGCCACUGAGGUCAUAAACCUUUAUUUUUGAAAGGCUUCAAAAUUCUAGCCAACAGCAGAGUAAACAUCUAUUUCCUCUUCUCAGGAUUCUACAAGGUCCCUCCCCCACCUUUCCUCUCUUUGUCCUCCUGUAGUUGAAGGGACUAGACUUAGCCACCAGGCACGAGUACACAGAGCUUAUGGGAAGGAGCCAGAACCACUAUCAUCACCAAGUUUGUUGUCCAGCUGAAAAACCACUUGGCUAGCAUUUCAAAGCUGUGACUCAUGCAGUAAACAGCAAGUCUCCCAGUUCUGCUUUCUGAGGAGGGCACAUUAAGUUUCAACAGCAUACACCAGUUUUACUGGAGUGAGUUUUCUAAAAAUGACUUACCACACCCUGCCUGAGUAAGGACCGCAUGAAACUGGUGAAAACGCUGAUCUCCAGAAAUACAACAAAGAUUAUUUCAAAUCUCACACUGUUCAUAUGAAGAGAAUGAGGCCCAAGGAAACAUAAGCCUGAAGCCCAGAUUACAAGAGACUACAAAGGGUAAGGAGAAACCAGAGAAUUAGCUAUACGGAAAUUGGAAUUAAAGUUCUACUCCUGCCACUAAGAAGCUGUUCAACCUUGGACAAGAGAAAAGUCUUACUCUCCACGUCAUUUCUGUAAAUUGUAGGAGAUACAAGAUGGCUGAAAUUCCUUCCAGGAGACCUGAGAGCACGUGACACCACCACCAACUUUAUUCAGCACCAUUCUUUUAAGUGAUUUGUAUUUGUAUAUGAUUUUAACAAUUACCUAGUUAUUAAGGACUAAAAGAGUUAAAGGGAUGAAGAAAGUUCUGACCAACACAGAAGAUUUCUCUCUUUCCAUUUCAUGACUAUUAUGCCAAACCACAGUAUACAGGGAAGUGACAAGGAUCCUUCAUCUCAUUUCACAAAUAGGAAAACAAAGGUGCUGAGCAGAAAGGCCAAGUGUAAAGUUAACAUCAAGUCCCUCAGGCUGCCCCUCAGCCUACAGUGCCUCACUGCCUGAGUUUAAUCAAAGCUCUAAAAGAACGGUAUUGGUAUGUAAAGCUUAAGAAAUUCUACACAUAUCCAAGAGAUGGAUAGAUUCUUUCCAGGAGCAAGAAAAGAAUCAGAGAUGUCACUGAGUAACACAAAAUGUUAUAACCAGAAAGGACAGAUUCCAGAUCAAUCUCUUCCAGGUAGAAUUCAUGCCCAUCUUUUACCUUAAGCCAAAUCAGAAAUGCUUUUUUUUUAAAUAUAUAUAUAUAUAUCACUAAAAGCCUACAACUUUUUAGGUCAAUAUUCCAGUCAAUCCUGGGCCUGCCAGGCCCUCAAGUGGUCAAGUUCCAA